CUGGAACCAGGGAGAGUGGCCUGAGCAGGAAAUCAGGUCCCAGUCCCCUCACCUUCCUUCAUGCUUCAAAGAUGGCUGCUGCAGCCCCAAGCAUCACACGUAUCACAAAGGGAAGAGAUGGCACCAGCAAAAUAUCUUCUUCCUCCUCCCUCGUUUUUCAGAAAGCCAAAGCCCUCUUGCCAAUAGCUUCUCCUUGUCUUGACUGAACUGUGCCCACGGUGGUCACAUGGCCACUACUAACUGCUAGAGUGUCCAGUGAAGCCAGUGCCUGACAAGGGAGAGCCCAGCUGCUAUAACUGGACUGGAACAAACAGAAUUGCAGCCUCUGAAGCUGAGCACAUUGCAACCCCAAACUAAAGCAGGUGCUGAAGGCAAGAAGAGGUUGGGAGAAUGUUUUCCACAGGAGAAAACUUCAUCCUUGUGAUCUGGGGAGGGGCAAAGUCUGCGAGGAGAGGCUCUGCCUUCCCCCCAACCAGGGGCCCACAUUUCCAUCUCUGAUAAAUAAUUGGUAGGUGUCGUUCCCUGGAGCAGAUCUGUAACUCACUGAGGGGACCUUCCAAGCUGGUUCUGUGUUAAAUACACAAAUCUUACCACAGCCUUUCUGACAAUCAGGCAUCCAGGCCCUGCUAGAUCCCUGUUGAAAGGAAACUCAUCACAUGUCAGGCAGCCCAUUCCUUCUGGAGGCUUCUCUGACAGGAACCACAUCCUUAUUUUGAGCUAAAAUGGGCUUCCCUUGGCUUCUAGUCAUUAACCCUAGUCCUACUUUCCCACAUUUUUUUUCAGCAACUUUCUGUGAAUCUAUUAUUUCAAAACACAAAAUUAAAAAUAAGUUAAGGAGAGACACAAAAAGUCUAAGAAGUGCCUGAAUUGUACUUCUAGAGAUGAACAUUACAAUGUCUGAGAUAAAUAGUACACUCGAUGGCAUGAGCGGCAGAUUAGACAUUACAAAGUAGCUUAGUGGACUAGAGACAUUGCCAUAAAGACUACCCAAAAUGAGCCACACAAAAAAUUAGGAAUACAAAUGAAUGUAAAGGGCAUCAGCAAACUAGGGAGAAAUCCGCAAGUAGCCUAAUAUAUGUUGGAAUUGUAGUGACCAAAGAAGUGUGGGAACAGAAAAAAAAUAUUUGAAGAAAUAGUGGUUGAAGAGUGUCCAAACUGGAUGAACACUUUAAACUCUAGUGCAAGCAUAGCCAACCACAAGCGCAAGAACAAGAAGCAAGGAGAAAACUAACCAAGGUGCAAUCAUGAUCAAAUUGCUUAAAACCAGUAACAAAGAAAACAUCAUCAAAGCAGCCGGGAAAACAAGGACACGUUUCAUCAAGAGGACCAAAGAGCAUGAAGAUAAGAGAUUUUUCACCAGAAACAAUGCAGGCAAGAAGUCAGUGGAGAGACAUCAUUAAAGCACUGUCUGUACAAAACUGUCAUUGGAGGAUUGCAUACCCAGCAAAAAUGCCUUUCAAACAUGAAGGUGAAGUUGAGGCUUCUUCAGACAUACAGAAGCUGAAAUCAUCAGCAGAUCUUGUCUGCAAGAAAUGUUAAAAGAAGUCCAUCAGGCAAAGUGAUACUGGAUGAAGAUCUGCACUUACAAACAGGAAUGAAAAUCACUACAGGUGAGAACUACACAGGUACAUUUAUUAUUUAGGUCUCUUUAAAAGAAAAUUGAUUCUUUCAAAAAAUAAUAUAUAGUGGGGUCUGUGAUAGGUAAAAGUGAAGCGUGACACCAAUAGCAUUGACAACAAUAGAAUAAGGGUGGGGAGAAGUAUCUCACUAUAAAAAUCUCAGACUAUGCUAAAGUCCUGUGAUGCCAAGAUCGCUUGAAGGGAUUGUGAUCAGUUAAAGACUCACACUAUAAAGCUUAAAGCAAACACUAAAAUAACAAACAAAGAGUUAUAGCUAACGAGUCAAAAAAAAAGAGAGCUAAAAUGUAAUCACGAAUACUUGAUUAAUGCAAAAGGAAGACAGAAAAAGAGGAAAAAGAACAUGAAAACCAGAGGUGAGCAGCCACCAGAAGGCAGAAGAGGCAAGCAAUGGAUCCUGCCCCAGAGCACCCAGGGGGACUGUGGCCCUGCCAGCACCCCAAUUUCAGCCCCAUGAUGCUGAUUGCAGACUUCUGGCCCCCAGAACUAUGGCAAGAUAAAUUUCUGUUGUUUUAAGACACCAAGUGUGUGAUUUUUCUUACACUAGCCACAGAAAUGAAUGCAUUGUAUCACCCUGGGAGGGGCAGGCCACCAAGUCUCAUCAUCC
rnacentral:lncRNA from 10 species